rnacentral:lncRNA from 9 species
GGGGAUUUGAAGUAUUGCUGAUUUCCUGGAUCUGGUUCCUGGGGCCGCCGAUGCCCUCAGAGGGUCAAGUUUACUCUCAAAGCUGGGACUCUCAGGGCUCUUGGACUUCUGACUUGCAUUCAGUGUGUGCUCCACAUUUAUUCCAUUCUGUUCCUUGUUACACAUUCAGGCGCCUCAUGCCCAGGACUGGGAUGCUCUGGACCCACAAGGGUUAAUGAUAUGUCGUGGUCCUGGAGAGAACCUGUGUGGAUGGCCGUGAGGUGGGGACACAGGGGCUUGUAUUUAUCAGCCAACCUGCCAAUCCUGGCAUUGGGUUCUGGAGGGGCCAGCAGUGUGGACAUCAAAGCAGCAGAGGCUCCUGCACUGGGGAGACUGCAACUCAUCACCCACCUUAAAGAGAUUCUGAGCCUGGGCACCUGUUCCCCGUGUGAGCACCAGAGUGUAAAUAGUGUAAGGUACGUGUAAGAGCAUAAAUAUGUGCGUGAACAGGUAUGUGCCCAGGUAUGAGGUGUGUAUCCAAAUGUGUGCAUGUGUGAGGUGUAUUUGAAGUGUGUAAGGUUUUUUUGGUCUUUUCUAGGGCCUCACCCGUGGCGUAGGGAGGUUCCCGAGCUGGGGGUCCAAUAGCAGCUAUAGCUUCGGGCCUACACCACAGCUACAGCAAUGCCAGAUCCAAGCCGCAUCUGCAACCUACACCACAGCUCCCGGCAAUGUCGGAUCCUUAACCCACUGAGCAAGGCCAGGGAUCGAACCCACAACCUCAUGGUUCCUAGUUGGAUUCAUUUCCACUGCGCUAUGAUGGGAACUCCUGAGGUGUGUAAGAUCUUAAGGUACAUCUGUGAGCUCUAUUGUGAGGGUAUGAGGGGCAUGUGAAGCAGGAGAGAGGGGCGUGUGAAGCAGGAGAGUGCGGCGUGAGUCAUGUGUGUGAACAUGAGUGAUUACAUGACUGUAAAUACAUGAUUACAUGUGUGUAAGUUGUGUCUGUGUAAGAGCGAGGGGUAUGUGGAAG